rnacentral:rRNA from 1 species
ACGAACGCUGGCGGCGUGCCUAAUACAUGCAAGUCGAGCGGAAUGAUGAAGAAGCUUGCUUCUUCUGAUUUUAGCGGCGGACGGGUGAGUAACACGUGGGCAACCUACCUUGUAGAUUGGGAUAACUCCGGGAAACCGGGGCUAAUACCGAAUAAUCCAUUUUGCUUCAUGGCGAGAUGUUGAAAGACGGUUUCGGCUGUCACUACGAGAUGGGCCCGCGGCGCAUUAGCUAGUUGGUAGGGUAAUGGCCUACCAAGGCGACGAUGCGUAGCCGACCUGAGAGGGUGAUCGGCCACACUGGGACUGAGACACGGCCCAGACUCCUACGGGAGGCAGCAGUAGGGAAUCUUCCACAAUGGACGAAAGUCUGAUGGAGCAACGCCGCGUGAGUGAAGAAGGUUUUCGGAUCGUAAAACUCUGUUGUAAGGGAAGAACACGUACGAGAGUAACUGCUCGUACCUUGACGGUACCUUAUUAGAAAGCCACGGCUAACUACGUG